CUGUGUUGCUGCCAUCACCAGGGUGAGAAGCGGGAGCUGCUGCCCACUGUGAGAAGCAUCACACCCACGGGAAGGGGUGGUGCCACAUGCUGCCAGGGAGUUACGGGCUGGCUUGUGAUGGUCCUUAUGGUGCCGCAGUGGACAAUCGAGAAUCGGGCUAAGGUGACCAGUUCUGCACAGACUUCUGCUUUCCCAUGUUCACAGAAGCA
rnacentral:lncRNA from 1 species